GAUGAACGCUAGCGGGAGGCUUAACACAUGCAAGUCGAGGGGCAGCAUAGGGUAGCAAUACUCUGAUGGCGACCGGCAAACGGGUGAGUAACGCGUAUGCAACCUACCCUGUACAGGGGGAUAACCCGGAGAAAUUCGGACUAAUAUCCCGUAAUAAUAUCCGGAGGCAUCUUUGGAUAUUUAAAGUUUCGACGGUACGGGAUGGGCAUGCGUAACAUUAGCUGGUUGGUAAGGUAACGGCUUACCAAGGCUAUGAUGUUUAGGGGUCCUGAGAGGGUGGUCCCCCACACUGGUACUGAGACACGGACCAGACUCCUACGGGAGGCAGCAGUGAGGAAUAUUGGUCAAUGGGCGCAAGCCUGAACCAGCCCAUCCCGCGUGCAGGGAAGACGGCCCUAUGGGGUUGUAAACUGCUUUUCCAGGGGAGAGAAACUUACGCACGUGUUGCGUGACUGACGGUACCCUGGGAAUAAGCAUCGGCUAACUCCGUGC
rnacentral:rRNA from 1 species